rnacentral:rRNA from 1 species
GGUUAAGCGACUAAGCGUACACGGUGGAUGCCCUGGCAGUCAGAGGCGAUGAAGGACGUGCUAAUCUGCGAAAAGCGUCGGUAAGGUGAUAUGAACCGUUAUAGCCGGCGAUGUCCGAAUGGGGAAACCCAGUGUGAUUCGUCACACUAUCGUUAACUGAAUACAUAGGUUAACGAGGCGAACCGGGGGAACUGAAACAUCUAAGUACCCCGAGGAAAAGAAAUCAACCGAGAUUCCCCCAGUAGCGGCGAGCGAACGGGGAGCAGCCCAGAGUCUGAAUCAGCUUGUGUGUUAGUGGAACGGUCUGGAAAGUCCGACGGUACAGGGUGAUAGUCCCGUACACCAAAAUGCACAGGUUGUGAACUCGAAGAGUAGGGCGGGACACGUGGUAUCCUGUCUGAAUAUGGGGGGACCAUCCUCCAAGGCUAAAUACUCCUGACUGACCGAUAGUGAACCAGUACCGUGAGGGAAAGGCGAAAAGAACCCCGGCGAGGGGAGUGAAAAAGAACCUGAAACCGUGUACGUACAAGCAGUGGGAGCACCUUCGGGUGUGACUGCGUACCUUUUGUAUAAUGGGUCAGCGACUUAUAUUCUGUAGCAAGGUUAACCGUAUAGGGGAGCCGCAGGGAAACCGAGUCUUAACUGGGCGUUAAGUUGCAGGGUAUAGACCCGAAACCCGGUGAUCUAGCCAUGGGCAGGUUGAAGGUUGGGUAACACUAACUGGAGGACCGAACCGACUAAUGUUGAAAAAUUAGCGGAUGACUUGUGGCUGGGGGUGAAAGGCCAAUCAAACCGGGAGAUAGCUGGUUCUCCCCGAAAGCUAUUUAGGUAGCGCCUCGUGAACUCAUCUUCGGGGGUAGAGCACUGUUUCGGCUAGGGGGUCAUCCCGACUUACCAACCCGAUGCAAACUACGAAUACCGAAGAAUGUUAUCACGGGAGACACACGGCGGGUGCUAACGUCCGUCGUGAAGAGGGAAACAACCCAGACCGCCAGCUAAGGUCCCAAAGUCAUGGUUAAGUGGGAAACGAUGUGGGAAGGCACAGACAGCCAGGAUGUUGGCUUAGAAGCAGCCAUCAUUUAAAGAAAGCGUAAUAGCUCACUGGUCGAGUCGGCCUGCGCGGAAGAUGUAACGGGGCUAAACCAUGCACCGAAGCUGCGGCAGCGACACUAUGUGUUGUUGGGUAGGGGAGCGUUCUGUAAGCCUGCGAAGGUGACCUGUGAGGGUUGCUGGAGGUAUCAGAAGUGCGAAUGCUGACAUAAGUAACGAUAAAGCGGGUGAAAAGCCCGCUCGCCGGAAGACCAAGGGUUCCUGUCCAACGUUAAUCGGGGCAGGGUGAGUCGACCCCUAAGGCGAGGCCGAAAGGCGUAGUCGAUGGGAAACAGGUUAAUAUUCCUGUACUUGGUGUUACUGCGAAGGGGGGACGGAGAAGGCUAUGUUAGCCGGGCGACGGUUGUCCCGGUUUAAGCAUGUAGGCUGAUUGUCCAGGCAAAUCCGGAUAAUCAAGGCUGAGGUGUGAUGACGAGGCACUACGGUGCUGAAGUAACAAAUGCCCUGCUUCCAGGAAAAGCCUCUAAGCAUCAGGUAACAUUAAAUCGUACCCCAAACCGACACAGGUGGUCAGGUAGAGAAUACCAAGGCGCUUGAGAGAACUCGGGUGAAGGAACUAGGCAAAAUGGUGCCGUAACUUCGGGAGAAGGCACGCUGGUGUGUAGGUGAAGCCCCCGCGGGUGGAGCUGAGACCAGUCGAAGAUACCAGCUGGCUGCAACUGUUUAUUAAAAACACAGCACUGUGCAAACACGAAAGUGGACGUAUACGGUGUGACGCCUGCCCGGUGCCGGAAGGUUAAUUGAUGGGGUUAUCCGUAAGGAGAAGCUCUUGAUCGAAGCCCCGGUAAACGGCGGCCGUAACUAUAACGGUCCUAAGGUAGCGAAAUUCCUUGUCGGGUAAGUUCCGACCUGCACGAAUGGCGUAAUGAUGGCCAGGCUGUCUCCACCCGAGACUCAGUGAAAUUGAACUCGCUGUGAAGAUGCAGUGUACCCGCGGCAAGACGGAAAGACCCCGUGAACCUUUACUAUAGCUUGACACUGAACAUUGAGCCUUGAUGUGUAGGAUAGGUGGGAGGCUUUGAAGCGUGGACGCCAGUCUGCGUGGAGCCAACCUUGAAAUACCACCCUUUAAUGUUUGAUGUUCUAACGUUGGCCCCUGACCGGGGUUGCGGACAGUGUCUGGUGGGUAGUUUGACUGGGGCGGUCUCCUCCCAAAGCGUAACGGAGGAGCACGAAGGUUAGCUAAUCCUGGUCGGACAUCAGGAGGUUAGUGCAAUGGCAUAAGCUAGCUUGACUGCGAGCGUGACGGCGCGAGCAGGUGCGAAAGCAGGUCAUAGUGAUCCGGUGGUUCUGAAUGGAAGGGCCAUCGCUCAACGGAUAAAAGGUACUCCGGGGAUAACAGGCUGAUACCGCCCAAGAGUUCAUAUCGACGGCGGUGUUUGGCACCUCGAUGUCGGCUCAUCACAUCCUGGGGCUGAAGUAGGUCCCAAGGGUAUGGCUGUUCGCCAUUUAAAGUGGUACGCGAGCUGGGUUUAGAACGUCGUGAGACAGUUCGGUCCCUAUCUGCCGUGGGCGCUGGAGAAUUGAGGGGGGCUGCUCCUAGUACGAGAGGACCGGAGUGGACGCAUCACUGGUGUUCGGGUUGUCAUGCCAAUGGCACUGCCCGGUAGCUAAAUGCGGAAGAGAUAAGUGCUGAAAGCAUCUAAGCACGAAACUUGCCCCGAGAUGAGUUCUCCCUGAGACUUUAAGUCUCCUGAAGGAACGUUGAAGACGACGACGUUGAUAGGCCGGGUGUGUAAGCGCAGCGAUGCGUUGAGCUAACCGGUACUAAUGAACCGUGAGGCUUAACCUU